GAAGAAAAAGCUUCGAACUAUACUUCAAGUUCAGUAUGUAUUGCAGAACUUGACACAGGAGCACGUACAAAAAGACUUCAAAGGGGGUUUGAAUGGUGCAGUGUAUUUGCCUUCAAAAGAACUUGACUACCUCAUUAAGUUUUCAAAACUGACCUGCCCUGAAAGAAAUGAAAGUCUGAGAGUCUCUAAUGGAAUUUGCCCAGCCAGAGAUACAACCACAAGAGUUUCUUAACAGACGCUAUAUGACAGAAGUAGAUUAUUCAAACAAACAAGGCGAAGAGCAACCUUGGGAAGCGGAUUAUGCUAGAAAACCAAAUCUCCCAAAACGUUGGGAUAUGCUUACUGAACCAGAUGGUCAAGAGAAGAAACAGGAGUCCUUUAAGUCCUGGGAGGCUUCUGGUAAGCACCAGGAGAUAUCCAAGCCUGCAGUUUCCUUAGAACAGAGGAAACAAGACACCUCAAAACUCAGGUCUACUCUGCCGGAAGAGCAGAAGAAGCAGGAGAUCUCCAAAUCCAAGCCAUCUCCUAGCCAGUGGAAGCAAGAUACACCUAAAUCCAAAGCAGGGUAUGUUCAAGAGGAACAAAAGAAACAGGAGACACCAAAGCUGUGGCCAGUUCAGCUGCAGAAAGAACAAGAUCCAAAGAAGCAAACUCCAAAGUCUUGGACACCUUCCCUGCAGAGCGAACAGAACACCACCAAGUCAUGGACCACUCCCAUGUGUGAAGAACAGGAUUCAAAACAGCCAGAGACUCCAAAAUCCUGGGAAAACAAUGUUGAGAGUCAAAAACACUCUUUAACAUCACAGUCACAGAUUUCUCCAAAGUCCUGGGGAGUAGCUACAGCAAGCCUCAUACCAAAUGACCAGCUCCUGCCCAGGAAGU
rnacentral:sRNA from 1 species